ACAGCUGCUCUCUGCUGUUGUCUCUGGAGAUGGUAAACCGGCCCUGAACUGACUGAGAGUAGUAGAUGCUAGCACUACUGCUGAUACUCGCAACCCACUCCAGUCCUUUU